UGGGGGGUGGCUCAGUGAUAGAGCGCUUACCUAGUAUGCAUGAGGCACUGGGUUCAUUCCCCAGCACCACAU
rfam:Ictidomys tridecemlineatus contig015149, whole genome shotgun sequence.